CACAGUGCUUUGGAGGAAAGGAAGAGAUACUUGAUAAUAUAGCUCUCUUGGCUGGAGAUUUCAGGUCCCAGUGGGGAGAACAAUGAAGACACUUACUGGAUCUUUAUUCCUGUUUUUGUGGCUGCAGCUAGACUGUAUGAAUAGAGGCGAGGAUGUGGAGCAGAGUCUUUUCCUGGGUGUCCGAGAGGGAGACAGCUCCGUUAUAAACUGCACUUACACAGACAGCUCCUCCACCUACUUAUAUUGGUAUAAGCAAGAACCUGGAGCAGGUCUCCAGUUGCUGACAUAUAUUUUUUCAAAUAUGGACCUGAAACAAGACCAAAGACUCACUGUUCUACUGAAUAAGAAGGAUAAACACCUGUCUCUGCGCAUUGCAGACACCCAGACUGGGGACUCAGCUAUCUACUUCUGUGCAGAGAGACUGUGUGAAUUAUGGAGGAAGCCAAGGAAAUCUCAUCUUUGGAAAAGGCACUAAACUCUCUGUUAAAC